rnacentral:rRNA from 1 species
GACGAACGCUGGCGGCGUGCUUAACACAUGCAAGUCGAACGGAAAGGCCCUGCUUUUGUGGGGUGCUCGAGUGGCGAACGGGUGAGUAACACGUGAGUAACCUGCCCUUUACUUUGGGAUAACUUCAGGAAACUGGGGCUAAUACCGGAUAGGAGCUCCUGCUGCAUGGUGGGGGUUGGAAAGUUUCGGCGGUUGGGGAUGGACUCGCGGCUUAUCAGCUUGUUGGUGGGGUAGUGGCUUACCAAGGCGUGGACGGGUAGCCGGCCUGAGAGGGUGACCGGCCACAUUGGGACUGAGAUACGGCCCAGACUCCUACGGGAGGCAGCAGUGGGGAAUAUUGAACAAUGGGCGGAAGCCUGAUGCAGCAACGCCGCGUGCGGGAUGACGGCCUUCGGGUUGUAAACCGCUUUCGCCUGUGACGAAGCGUGAGUGACGGUAAUGGGUAAAGAAGCACCGGCUAACUACGUG